rnacentral:rRNA from 1 species
CCUACGGGUGGCAGCAGUGGGGAAUAUUGGGCAAUGGGCGCAAGCCUGACCCAGCAACGCCGCGUGAAGGAAGAAGGCUUUCGGGUUGUAAACUUCUUUUCUCAGGGACGAAGAAAGUGACGGUACCUGAGGUAUAAGCCACGGCUAACUACGUGCCAGCAGCCGCGGUAAUACGUAGGUGGCAAGCGUUAUCCGGAUUUAUUGGGUGUAAAGGGCGUGUAGGCGGGAGCGCAAGUCAGAUGUGAAAACUCAGGGCUCAACCCUGGGCCUGCAUUUGAAACUGGGUUUCUUGAGUGCUAGAGAGGCAAGCGGAAUUCCGUGUGUAGCGGUGAAAUGCGUAGAUAUAAGGAGGAACACCAGGGGCGAAGGCAGAUUGCUGGACAGAAACUGACGCUGAGGCGCGAAAGCGUGGGGAGCAAACAGGAUUAGAUACCCGUGUAGUC